CUUCUGCUGGCGCUCCUGUCCUCCGCAGGUGCUCGCUGUCCUCCAAUGGCACUCCACUUCUAUCCUCUGACAGCGCGCUAGUAACCUCCGCAGGUGUGCUUCCUCUAAUCUCCGCCGGCGCGCUGCAUCUAUACUCCGAUGGCGCUCCCGUCCGCCGCAGGCGCUCCCUGUUCUCUGCAGAUGCUCCCGUCCUCUGCAGGCGCUCGCUGUCCUCUGCUGGUGCUCCACAUCUAUCCUCCAAUGGCACACAACCUGUAACCUCCGCCAGGGUGCUACCUCUUAUCCUCUGCUGGCGCGCUACCUCUAUCUUCUGACGGUGCUCUGUCCUCGGCAGGCGCUCCCUAUUCUCCGCAGGUGCUCCCGUCCUCUACAGGUGCUUGCCGCCCUCAGCAGGUGCUCCACCUCUAUCUUCUGGAAGCGCGCUAUCUCUAAACUCCACUGACGCGCUACCUCUAUCGUCUGACGGUGCUCCCAUUCUCUGCAGACGUUCCCUGUUCUCCGCAGGUGCUCCCAUCCUCCACAGAUGCUCCAUCACUAUCAUCCAAUGGCGCGCUACCUCUAUCUUCUGACAGUGCUCCUGUCAUCCGCCGGCACUCCCUGUUCUCCUCAACUACUCCCGUCCUCCGCAAAUGCUCCACAUCUAUCCUCCGACGGCGCACUAUCUGUAACCUCCACCAGUGUCCUACCUCCUAUCUUCUGCUGGCGCUCUACCUCUAUCCACUGGCGGCACACUACGUCUAUCCGUUGCUGGUGUGUUACCGCUAAACUCAGCCAGCGAGAUACCUCUAUCUUCUAACGGCGCUCCAGUCCUCCGCAGGUGCUUCCUGUUUUCCUCAGGUGCUCUCGUCCUCUGCAGGCACUCGCUGUCCUCCACAGGCACUCCACCUCUAUCAUCUGACAGAACACUACAUCCAACCUCGGCCGGUGCACUACAUCCAUCCUCCAAUGGCACGCUACCUCUAACCUCCGCUGGCGUGCUACCUCUAUCUUCUGACGGUGCUCCCAUCCCCCACAGGUGCCGCACCUCUUUCCUCUGCUGGCGCACUUCCUCAAUCCUCUGCCGGUGCACUACCUCUACACUCUGAUGAUGUUCCCAUACUGUGCAGGCAAUCCCUGUUCUCCGCAGGUGCUCCUGUCCUCUACAGGCGCUCACCGUCCUCUGCAGGCAAUCCACCUCAAUCUUCUGAAGGCAUGCUAUUGCAAAACUCAGCCAGCGAAUUACUUCUAUUUUCUUACGGCGCUCCCAUCGUCCGCAGGCGCUCCCUGUUCUACGCAGGUGCUCCCAUCCUCCGUAGAAACUCCACCUCUAUCAUCGGAUGGCGAAACAGAACCUCCACCUUGAUGCUCCGACAGCACACUACCGGUAACCUCCGCCUGUGCACCUCUUCUACCUCUAUCUUCUGAUUGCGCUCCUGUCAUUUGCAGGCACACCUUGUUCUCUGCAGGUGCUCCCGUACUCCGUAGAAACUCCACCUCUAUCAUCGGAUGGCGCACUACAUCUAACCUCUGCCAGCAAACAAACUCUGUUUUCUGACGGCGAUCCCAUCCUCCGCAAUCACUCCCUGUUCUCCACAGGUGCUCCUUUCAUCCACCGACAUUCUACCUCUAUCCACGAACAGCGCACUACCUCUAACCUCCGAUAGCGCGCUAACUCUUAUCCUCUGCCAGGAUGCUACUGCUAACCUCCGACAGCGCACGACCUCUAUCUUCAGAUGGUGCUCCCGUCAUCUGCAGGUGCUCCCUGUUUUCCGCAGGUGCUCCUGUCCUCGGCAGAUGCUCCACCUCUAUCCCGUGAUGGCACACUACAUAUAACCUCUGCCGGCGCACUAAUUCUGUCUUCUGACGGCGCUCCUGUCCUCCACAGUCACUCCCUGUUCACCACAGGUGCUCCCAUCCUCCGCAGACCCUCAACGUCGAUCCAGUGACAGAGCACUACCUCUAACCUCUGCCAGCAUGCUACCUCUUUCUUCUGACAGCGCACCCAUCAUCUGCAGGCGCUCCUUGUUCUCCACAGGUGCUCCUGUCCUCUGCAGAUGCUCCACCUUUAUCCUCUGAUGAUGCACUACAUCUAACCUCUGCCGGCGCACUAACUAUGCCUUCUGACAGUGCUCCCGUCCUCCAGAGGUGCUCCCUGUUCUCCGCAGGUGCUACGAUCCUCCGCAGACCCUCCACCUCGAUCCUCUGAUGGCACACUACCUCUAACCUCUGCCGGCGCACUACCUCUAUCUUCUAACCACGCUCCCAUCAUCUGCAAGCAGUCUCUGUUCUCCGCAGAUGCUCUCGUCCUCCGCAAACGCUCCAACUCGAUCCUCUGAUGAUGCACUACAUGUAACCUCUGCCGGCGCACUAACUCUGUCUUCUGAUGGUGCUCCUGUCCUUGGCAAUCGCUUCCUGUUCUCCGCAGGUGCUCCCAUCCUCCGCAGAAGUUCCAGCUCUAUCCUCUGAGAGUGCACUACCUCUAUCUUCUGCCGGGGCACUAACUAUGCAUUCUGACAGUGCUGCCAUCAUCUACAGAUGUUCUGUGUUCUCUGCAGGUAACCCCAUCAACCACAGGUGCUUUACAUCUAUCCUCUGAAGGCACACUACAUCUAACCUCUGCCGGCGCACUAACUAUGCCUGCUGACAGCACUCCUGUCCUCCGCAGGUGCUCCCUGUUCUCAUGAGGUACUCCGAUCCUCCGCAGACACUCCACCUUGAUCCUCUGAUGGCACACUACCUCUAACCUCUGCUGGCACAAUACCUAUAUCUUCUAACCACGCUCCCAUCAUCUGUAAGCAGUCUCUGUUCUCCACAGAUGGUCUUGUCCUCCGCAGACGCUCCAACUCGAUCCUCUGAUGAUGCACUACAUCUAACCUCUGCCGGCGCACUAUGUCUUCUGACAGCGCUCCUGUCCUCCGCAGGUGCUCCCUGUUCUCCUCAGGUGCUCCGAUACUCCGCAGACCCUCCACCUCGAUCCUCUGAUGGCACACUACCUCCAACCUCUGCUGGCACACUACCUCUACCUUCUGACAAUACUCCCAACAUCUGCAGGCAGCCUCUGUUCUCCGCAGAUGCUCUUGUCCUCUGUAGACGCUCCACCUCUAACCUCUGAUGAUGCACUACAUCUAACCUCUGCUGGUGCACUAACUCUGUCUUCUGAUGGCGCUCCUGUCCUUGCCAAUCGCUUCCUGUUCUCUGCAGUUGCUCCCGUCCUCCGCAGAUGCUCCAUCUAUAUCCUCUGAAGGCACACUACAUCUAACCUCUGCCGGCGCACUAACUAUGUCUUCUGACAGCACUCCUGUCCUCCACAGCUGCUCCCUGUUCGCUGCAGGUGCUCCCAUCCACCCCAGACCCUCCACCUCGAUCCUCUGAUGGCACACUACCUCUAACCUCUGCCGGUUCACUAGCUAUUCCUUCUGACAGCACUCCCGUUCUUCGCAGUCAGUCCCUGCUUGCCGCAGGUGCUCCCGUCCUCUGCAGACCCUCCACCUCAAUCCUCCAACAGCACACUACCUCUAACCUCUGCCUGCAAGCUACCUCUAUCUUCAGAUCAUGCUUCCAUCAUCUGCAGGCACUCCUUGAUCUCCACAGAUGUUCCCAUCCUCCCCACAUCUUGCACUUCGAUCCUGUGACAGCGCACUACCUGUAACCACUGCCAGUGUGCUACCUCUAUCUUCUGUUCGCGCUCCCGUCAUCUGCAGACACUCUUUGUUCUCCACAGGUGCUCCCGUCCUCCACAGACUCUUCACCUCUAUCCCGUGAUGGCACACUGCAUCUAAACUCUGCCAGCUCACUAACUCUGUCUUCCAACAGCGCUCCCGUCCUGCACAGGCUCUCCAUGUUCUCUGCAGGUGAUCUCAUCCUCCCCAGACCCUCCACCUCGAUCCUCUGAUGGGGCACUACAUCUAACCUCUGCCAGCGCACUACCUCUAUCUUCUGAAAACACUCCCAUCAUCUGCAGGCCUUCUGUGUUCUCUGCAGAUGCUCCUGUCCUCUGCAGAUGCUCCACCUAUAUCUUCUGAUGGCACACUACAUCUAACCUCUGCCAGCGCACUAAAUCUGUCUUAUGACGGCACUCCUGUCCUCUACAAUUACUUCCAGUUCCCUGCAGGUGCUCUUUUCCUCCGCAGACAUUCCACCUCUAUCCUCCAACAGCGCACUACAUCUAACCUCUGCCAGUGCACUAAUUCUGUUUUCUGCCGGUGUUCCCGUCCUCUGCAGUCACUCCCUGUUCUCCGCAGGUUCUCCUGUUCUCUGCAGACCCACUACUUUGAUCCUCCAACAGUGCACUACCUCUAACCUCUGCCGGCAAGCUACCUCUAUCUUCUGAUUGUGCUCCCAUCAUCUGCAGGCACUCCUUGUUCUCCGCAGGUCCUCUUUUUCUCCGCAUACGUUACACCUCUAUCAUCUGACAGUGCACUACCUCUAACCUUUGCCGGCGUGCUACCUCUUAUCCUCUGCUGGUGUGUUACCUCUAAUCUCUGCUGGUGCUACCUUUGUCUUCUGACUGAGCUCCCGUCCCCCGUAGGUGCUCCCUGUUUUCUUCAGGUGCUCCUGUCCUCCACAGACCAUCCACCUCUGUCCUCCAAUGGUGCACUACCUCUAACCUCUGCUGGCGCACUACCUCUAUAUUCUGACGGUGCUCCUGUCCUCUGCAAGCGCUCCCUGUUCCCCACAGGUGCUCCCUGUCCUCCGCAGGUACUCCACCUCUAUUCUCUGAUGGCACACUACAUCUAACCUCCACCGGCGUGCUACCUCUAUCUUCUGACGGUGCUCCCAUCCUCUGCUGGCGCUCCCUGUUCUCUGCAGGUGCUUUCAUUCUCCACAGACACUCCACCUCUAUCUUCCAAUGUCGCACUACAUCUAACCUCUGCUGGCGCACUACCUCUAUCUUCUGAUGGCUCUCCCAUCCCCCGCAGCUGUUGCACCUCUUUCCUCUGCUAGCACACUACCUCUAACCUUUGCCAGCGCACAACUACUAUCCUCUGACGACGUUCCUGUCCUCUGCAGGCACUCCCCAUCUCCUCAGGUGUUCCCGUCCUCUGCAAACCCUCCACCUUUAUCCUCCAAUGGUGCACUACCUCUAACCUCUACCGACGCACUACCUCUGUCUUCUGACAGUGCUCCCAUCCUCCACAGAUGCUCCACCUCUAUCUUCUGACAGCGCACUACCUCUAACCUCCGCCGGCGCACUACCUGUAUUCUCCGACGGCACUGUGUCCUCCGCAAACCCUCCUUCUUCUCUGCAGGUACUCCCAUCAUCCGCAGGUGCUCCCUUGCUCUGCAGGCACUCGCCAUCCUCCGCAGGCGCUCCCUGUUCCUGUAUAUGAUGUGUUUGAUUAUUAAUUGCAGUAUUCCAGUUUAGCUGGGAAAUAAGAAUCUACAGUACAAGUUAUUGAGGGAUUACAUUUUUAGGCAUAUAUUUGAGGCACUUGAGUAUCAGGGAG
ensembl:lncRNA